CCUCGGGGGCUGCAGUGAGGAAUAUUGGACAAUGGGCGAAAGCCUGAUCCAGCGACGCCGCGUGGGUGAAGAAGGCCUUCGGGUUGUAAAGCCCUGUCAGAGGGGACGAAGUUCUGACGGUACCCUCAGAGGAAGCACAGGCUAACUCCGUGCCAGCAGCCGCGGUAAUACGGAGUGUGCGAGCGUUGCUCGGAAUCACUGGGCGUAAAGGGCACGUAGGCGGCCUCGUGUGUUGGGUGUGAAAGCCCACGGCUCAACCGUGGAACUGCACUCAAAACUGCGAGGCUAGGGUACGGAAGAGGAAGGCGGAAUUCCCAGUGUAGGGGUGAAAUCCGUAGAUAUUGGGAAGAACACCAGUGGCGAAGGCGGCCUUCUGGGACGAUACUGACGCUGAUGUGCGAAAGCGUGGGGAGCAAACAGGAUUAGAUACCCCCGUAGUC
rnacentral:rRNA from 1 species